UCGGAUAUGGUGUAACGGCUAACAUUGCCGCCCCUCAUGUUCGUAAUGUACGCGGCAGCUCGGGGUUCGAUUCCCCGUAUCCGAA